GCCGCUGUGGUGGAAUGGUAUACACGUCCGCCUUAAGAGCGGAUGCCCUAUGGGCGUGUGGGUUCGACUCCCACCUGCGGCA
rnacentral:tRNA from 1 species